CCUACGGGUGGCAGCAGUGGGGAAUAUUGCACAAUGGGCGCAAGCCUGAUGCAGCCAUGCCGCGUGUGUGAAGAAGGCCUUCGGGUUGUAAAGCACUUUCAGCGGGGAGGAAGGCGGUGAGGUUAAUAACCUCAUCGAUUGACGUUACCCGCAGAAGAAGCACCGGCUAACUCCGUGCCAGCAGCCGCGGUAAUACGGAGGGUGCAAGCGUUAAUCGGAAUUACUGGGCGUAAAGCGCACGCAGGCGGUCUGUCAAGUCGGAUGUGAAAUCCCCGGGCUCAACCUGGGAACCGCAUUCGAAACUGGCAGGCUAGAGUCUUGUAGAGGGGGGUAGAAUUCCAGGUGUAGCGGUGAAAUGCGUAGAGAUCUGGAGGAAUACCGGUGGCGAAGGCGGCCCCCUGGACAAAGACUGACGCUCAGGUGCGAAAGCGUGGGGAGCAAACAGGAUUAGAUACCCUUGUAGUC
rnacentral:rRNA from 1 species